rnacentral:lncRNA from 10 species
AGUCCCUGCCGCCGCCCGGCCCCGCCUGGCCCGCGCGCCCCGCCGCCCGGCUUGCGCCUGCCGCUCCCACCCGGCGGUCUCCUACCCCCAGGGCCCCGACUCCUCCAAAGUCUCCAGGCCCCGGGACUCCCUCUCUUGCCCACCCUCCCGCCCCGGACCGGCAGGCUCCGCCCCCAGCCCCAGACUUGGCGCGGGCUGACCCCCGAGCCCAGCACCCGUUUGCACCCCCUCCUCGGUGGGGACCCUGCACAGCUCUGGAGGGGCGAGCUCUGGCGUUGCAAUCCUCCUUUUGCCAUCAUGCGUGUAUAGGUGCCCGGCAUCACUUCAUCCAGCCGGCCCUGCGGGACCCUGGGAAGAGAGGGAGAAGGAAGGGGAAACGAGGAAGUGUGGGGUCGGGAGUGGAAUACAGGUCAGGGUCCGAGGCGGGCUCUGAAAGCCACGUGAGCACAGCGAGCCUCAGCUCUCCCUACCUCUGGGAAGAGGGUGGCGCCGGAGGGAGCAGGGCUGGAAGUCCCGGUGGCGGAUUCCAGGUUCCGCUCAGUCCCUGGACUGCAGGAUUCUGGCAAAUUGCUUAACCUCUUUGAACUUUAGUUUUCUGGAUGUAGAAUGCAAGCGUUGCACUGCAGGGACCUGGCCUUCUACCAUGCUGGGACAUCCAAGUCUUCCGCAGGCCAGUAAUACACCUGUGUUUACACCGUUUCCAGUGAGUCAUUCACUGAGAUAGAACGAGUUCGAGAUAGUCCUCGGGCUAAAAAAAUCUUUUCACUGGGAGUAUAAUAGCUUAAGACCCAGUCAGUCCUGUAGCUUGACCUGGGUGUUUACUCGGGGAGCCAGGGCUAUGGUCACCUCCCAGGGCCAUGCCGGGUGGGAAGAAUUCAGUGAAAUGGAAUAGGAAGAGGACCCCCCUCCCCCACAAAACAAUACCUGCGGCUUCUCUCGCCCUCUAUCCCCUCCCCAGGAAGGCAGUUUAUUUUGACUCCAGUGAAGGUCCUCUGCCAGUCAGCCUGCGAGCCCCCACCCACUGAGAGGAGGAAGAUGGGCCCCCACCCCCACCCCCAGAUCCCUGGCUCUCCUCUUUGCUGCUGUGGGUGUGGACAGAGAGGGAAGAUGUGUAUUUGAGGUUUGGCUUCUGUGUGAGGAAAGGGAAAAAAGGAUCCAGGGAAUUCUUCCUCAUGUUCCAGUGACACCCAUGCCUCCUAAGAGGACAGAAUCUGGGGGAAGCUGUAGAGGGAUGGGAGUGCAAUGGACAUUCCUUAAGGACCUACCCAGCGCUAAGCAAUCCUAUGAGGAGAGCAUCAUUAUCCCCAUUCUACAGAUAAGAAAACUGAGGCUCGGGGGCCUCACAAUUUGCUGGGGUUCCUCAGCUGAAAAGUGGUAGUACUAAGAUUGGAACCAAAGGCUGUCUGGCUUCGCUGGUAGGCAAGUCUACUCUGCCACUCUGCCCUUGCCAAGUGCAGGUAGUCCAGCCCUAUUUUUCUCUCUCCCCUAAGUGGAGAGAAAUCAUUUGAACAAAUACUGGCCGUGCGCGGUGGCUCACACCUGUAAUCCCAGCAUUUUGGGAGGCCGAGGCUGGCAGAUCACCUGAGGCCAGGAGUUCAAGAACAGCCUGGGCAAUGUGGUAUAACCUCAUCUCUACUAAAAAUACAAAAAUUAGUCGAGUGUGGUGGUGGGCGCCUGUAAUCCCGGCUACUCAGGAGGCUGAGGCAGGAGACUCACAUGAGCCAGGGAGGUGGAGGUUGCAGUGAGCUGAGAUCGCACCACUACACUCCAGCUUGGGUAUCAGAGCAAGACCCUGUCUCAAAAAAAAAAAAAAAAAAAAAAGGAAGGGAAACUUUGGUUACACUUCAUGAGCAUCCAACAGAGCUGAAAGAUCCAGACCCUACCAAGACUCAAGAGGGGAAGAUGUUGAUUAAACAGGUAGGUACAAAGUGGUCUGCAAUGGAGAAAUACAAAAGUGACUUCAGAAAGUGUGCAAUUCAUUUACACUGGGAGAGGGCAAACUAAGAUGUUUGAGAAGUUCCUGGUUCUCAGGAUUCAGGCUAAAUGUUUCACUUCUUUCCUCUGUAAGAGAGACAUUGACCUCACAGAAUAAAGGCUGUGCUGAACACAUAAAAGAAGCACUUACUUUUGCACUUUAUUUUCUUCUCUUUACCUAACUUAUUCUUUUUUUUUUUUUUCCUGGGAUGGAGUUUCAUCUUUCAAUCAGGCUGGAGUGAAGUGGCAAGAUCUUGUCUCACUGCAGCCUCCACUCCCCGGGUUCAAGCCAUUCUCCUGCCUCAGCCUCCUGAGUAGCUGGGAUUGCAGGCGGCCACCACCAUGCCCUGCUAAUUUUUCUAUUUUUAGUAGAGACAGCAUUUCACCAUGUUGG